CUUUGACUGCCGUCGCCUUCUUUCUCCUCUGCCCGUCUUUCGCUUUCCCCACUUCCCUUCACCCUCCUGCCUCCACUCCUCUGCUCAUCAGAGGAUAAGGAGAGCAAAGCCGUGAGAAGGACGAGACCCAAAAAGCAGAAAUGGCAUUAGCAUCACCUUCUGCAACUGCUAGCCGGACUAGUGUCAUCUCUUCAUCGUCUUCCUCGUCACAUUCGAGACCCUUCGGCGCCCUCUCCUCCCCAAGGUCCCAGAAGCUUCGGAGCUUCCAAUCCUCUUCUCAAUUCGGCCUCAAUUGCACCUCUUCCCCUCUGUCUCAACCGACCCACCACUCUUUCAUCCGCUCUUCUUCCAUCGCCAGCUCCCCCGUCACAGAUGUUGAGCUUCCAGAGAGCUCCACCGCCUCAUGGGAGAAAUUCGCUGAGAACGUGUCCGGCGAAUGGGAUGGGUUUGGGGCUGAUUUCACGAGCCAAGGACAGCCCAUCGAACUUCCGGAGUCGGUAGUUCCUGAAGCUUAUAGGGAGUGGGAGGUUAAGGUGUUUGAUUGGCAGACUCAAUGCCCUACUCUUGCCAAACCCACGGAACAAGUCCUUCAGUACAGGACAAUCAAACUGCUUCCUACGGUCGGGUGUGAAGCUGAUGAUGCUACGAGGUACAGCAUUGACGAGAGAAGCAUCGGAGACGGGAGCAACAAAGUGGAGGCAUUGGCCUAUCAGUCUAGUGGGUGCUAUGUGGCUGUUUGGCCCUUAGAAAGCGAGGGAGUAGCAAGGCUAAUUGAGCUAGAGUACUGUGUUGUCAAUCCGCAAGAUCAGGAAUCCCGGGUUCGAAUAUCUCAGGUUAUAGGUGUUAAGGAUGAUGAUGCGAAGAUGAGCUUAAAAGGUAUUAAGGUGUUUUGCGAGCAGUGGUAUGGGCCGUUUAGGAAUGGAGAGCAGUUGGGUGGCUGUGCAAUUCGAGAUUCAGCGUUUGCAUCCACACCUUCCACGAAAGCUUCCGAUGUUAUUGGAGUAUGGGAGGGGCCCGUUUCCGUUGCCACUUUCCACGUUUCCGAGAAUGAUUGCCUUGCUUCACUUUGGCUUGAAAUGCACCCUCUACUGGCUCUCCUCUCCUCAUCAUUCUCCUCUGUAUUGGUGCUUGCAAAGCACUUAGAACUUCAGCAAACUUCGGAUCUGACAACUCCUUAGUAUUCUCAAGAGAGGCAAUGGUUGCCUCAUAUCUCUCUGGCGUUGAAACAAGUAGUUUUUGUACCAGCCUGUUAUCACUUAAAUCAGUCCCUAACACCCUUUAUCUUGUUUGCUAUCUCCACAAGCUUGUCUGCAAAUUGCUUCACUGUCUCACUCUCCUUCACUUGCAGCCUUUCAAACUCUCUCAUCAGGUUAAGGACUUUCAUACAUCUAAUCUUCUCAUCUCCUUCAUACUCAGUCUUCAAGUAGUCCCAUAUUGCCUUGGCUGACUGAAGCCUCAUAAUCCUGAUGAAGUGGGUGACUGAUGCUGCAGCAUAAAGGCACGAUUUUGCUUUAGCCUUCCCGGUCACCCUCUCCUUGUGAUACUUUAUCUGGUUCAUAGUGGGGUUGUCUGGCAGGGUAGCAACUUCAUAAUCUUCCUCUACUGCGUCCCACAAGUCAGCCCCUUCCAUGUAUGCUUGCAUCUUCACCGCCCACACUUGGUAAUUUUCUCCAUCAAACGCAGCAGGUGUGAUGGUGGAGAAUUCUGUUGCUGAUGCAGAUGCUUCCAUCUCCAAACUGCUUUCCUUCUCAAUCAACUCCUACUCCACCGAUCCUUUAAGAUCCUUUGAGGCUCUUCAUGUGUAUAACUCUUGAUUGCACUUCUUCAAUGAUGAAAUUUGGCUUUUCACAACCUUCUUUCUUACACAACUUACCGGAGAAGCAAGGACGUACUGCACAAAAUCCUGGUUUUUCCUAUAUUCAGAAUUUUCUUCAAGAACUCCUGGGAACGGGCGUACAGAGGUCUGUGAGAGAUGAAAAGAAGAACCUCGUGUUGCUUCCCAAGCAAUUGUGGUGUUCACUGCAAGAACAACAAAAUGGUGAAACUCUCAGCGAGGUGGGGUGGGUUUUCAGUCAUGGGCAGUCCAUCACAUCGAGUUGCACUUUUUCAAGAGACCGGAAGUUGAAG